rnacentral:lncRNA from 1 species
CAAAAACACAAUAACCCCUAAAUGGUAAAAAUAAUUAAAAAGCAAAUCAAAUCCACUUAAUAACAACAAAGAUUUAACGAAAGAAACGGCGGGAAGCUUCAAAAAUUACGUCAAUGCUGGUUUCGGCAUUCAUUGGUGGUUCGGAACGGCAGACGACGACAUACAAGACUUCGAUUAUCGGCGGGAGUCUGCUGAAUGGUGAAAAGUCUGUGAAUGGCCGGUUCUGCUCAGACGAUGCUUGUGGGUGGGAGGAUGCUCUCUCAAGGGUUCUCUCACGAUUGUGGGUGGAAGGAUGCUCCUCUCGUGAAAAUGAGGUUUCUAAUUUUUGAAACCUCAAAUGAAACCCUGAAAUCAAAACCCCUGCAACCUAUCUCAAUUCCAUUUCCAUGUCAUUUUCAAUUUUUAAAUUUUUUUCCACAUGGGCAAUAAGACUACAACACAUGGUGGAGUAAAAAAAUUAUUAUAAAAUAGGUUUCCAAGUAUCAUUACCCUAUCAUAUAAUAUCAAAUAAAACUAAAUAUAUAACAAAUUCUGAAAAUCUUUGAAC